UACUUCCUAUAUAACACACCAAAAAAAAAAAAAUUACUUCUACCCUGUUCUUUUGUUGAUCGCUGCGACAAGCACCGGCGGCACAAAAUAUAAAAGAAAAAAGAAGGAGAGAUGAAGGUGAGAUGAAUGAAAGAGUCGCAGCGAUAGAUCUGAAGAGAUAGGAAAAAGGGAAUUUGAGACGCUGAAAAUUCCAGCGUCUACGGAAUGGUCGAAUUAUAGUUGCUGCGGCAGAGAUGAAAGAGAGGAGAAAUGAAAGUGAAAGAGAGAUGAGAGCUUUUUUUGGAUCGCAGGUAGCUGACGC